rnacentral:rRNA from 1 species
GACGAACGCUGGCGGCGUGCUUAACACAUGCAAGUCGAACGCUGAAGACCUGGCUUUUGUUGGGUUGGAUGAGUGGCGAACGGGUGAGUAACACGUGAGUAACCUGCCCUCUUCUUUGGGAUAACGCCCGGAAACGGGUGCUAAUACUGGAUAUUCACUGAUCUUCGCAUGGGGGUUGGUGGAAAGGUUUGUUCUGGUGGGGGAUGGGCUCGCGGCCUAUCAGCUUGUUGGUGGGGUGAUGGCCUACCAAGGCUUUGACGGGUAGCCGGCCUGAGAGGGUGACCGGUCACAUUGGGACUGAGAUACGGCCCAGACUCCUACGGGAGGCAGCAGUGGGGAAUAUUGCACAAUGGGCGAAAGCCUGAUGCAGCGACGCCGCGUGAGGGAUGGAGGCCUUCGGGUUGUAAACCUCUUUCGCUCAUGGUCAAGCCGCAACUGUGGGUUGUGGUGAGGGUAAUGGGUAAAGAAGCGCCGGCUAACUACGUG